GGGCCUGUGGUCUAGCGGUUAUGACAACACCCUUACACGGUGUAGGUCACCAGUUCGAAUCUGGUCGGGCCCA
rnacentral:tRNA from 1 species